UACGUAGGUGGCAAGCGUUGUCCGGAUUUAUUGGGUUUAAAGGGUGCGUAGGCGGCUCUGUAAGUCAGUGCUGAAAUAUCCCGGCUUAACCGGGAGGGUGGCAUUGAUACUGCAGGGCUUGAGUACAGAUGAAGUAGGCGGAAUUGACGGUGUAGCGGUGAAAUGCAUAGAUAUCGUCAAGAACACCGAUAGCGAAGGCAGCUUACUAAGCUGUAACUGACGCUGAGGCACGAAAGUGUGGGGAUCGAACAGG
rnacentral:rRNA from 1 species